UCCCUGGUCAUCUACUGGUUAGGAUACAGCACUCUCAUUGCUGUGGCCUGGGUUCGAUUACCAGUUGGGGAA
rnacentral:tRNA from 1 species